CCUAAGCUCCAAGAGUCCUUCUUUCGUCUCUGUGACUUGUUUCCUGAGCCCAUUUCUUCUACAGCUCACUUCUUCUAUCUCCACAACUUUCUAAAUAAACUUUCUCCUAGAGUUCAAGUCUUGGGCCUGAAUUCUUUCUCAGCCUGGACUGAGGCUGCUGAGCCAAGGGCGGGUGUGACUCCACGGGUCUAGCACCUGGUGCCGUUCUCACACCUGGUGCCGUUCUCACCACCAGCAGCUGGGCGGUAACAUCUCCAGUUCCAGACAGCACCUAUACUUAAAUGAUACAACAGAGGCUCAAGCCUGCUAUCUGUCUGUUCUGUCUCCUUUAGGAAGAGACAACACACAAAAAGCAGAGCCCAACUUGGGCUUCUUAACCAAGGAUCCACACUCUACAUCUGGAUUCUUGGCAUGGCUCCAAGAUUAUAUCUGCUCUCCGCCAAGCCCAGCAUGAAACUGUAAAGGAAGAUAAACUUGGGAAACAUAGGGCAUGUGCCUGGUAUAAAGAGGCAAUUUCAUGGCCCAGGGGCAGCCAAAACCUCCACCCACGGCUUCUGACAAGACCAGAAAGAUUUCAAAAGGCAAACUACAGAAACCAACAGCCAGAAUGGACCAUUUUCCAACUUUAAAGAAUGAAGCAAAGGGAUACCUCGGAGAAAAAGGACACUGGGCAUUGUGAGAGAGACAAAGGACGUGUCCAGCACAGGGGCAGCACAAGUUAAGGGUGUCCCACGUCUCAACAACACUGCUGACACCUAAACAUCUCCCAGCUCUGGGCCCUCCUGGGCUAGAUUUAGCAUUUGAAAUCUAGCACCCACAAAGCCUUUUUCCAUGUGUCCUGGAAAUGAACCAAAGCAAAGAGGGGAUAAUGCAAGGAUAAAGAUCUUUCCAUUCAUUUUGGGGGGCUCCCCACCGAAUGAAUUCAGGAAAUAACAGACACCCCCAUCUCCUCUGAUGAAGGAGCAGAGGGCUUCCAGCUCUGGUAACAGAGGAAGAUGCAGGACUUGUGCCCCAAAGCCCCCUUCUACUACUAUGACUGCAUAAUUCCACCAGCUUCCAAUCUUCAGUCCCUCUGCUCCUGGGUCGAGGAGGAAUCACUAGGGAAGUAGGAGAAUAAAGGAAAGGAUGAAGAGCAGAAGGAAGGAGAGAAGGAAGGAAUGCAGGCUUUCCUAUUGACUACCUUCGAAAUACCCACAGUGAAGGGGAUCUGGGCCCCUGAGAAAACCUGGCAGGGGGGCAAUGAAACAGAAGAAAGAAUACAAAGUAACUGAGAUGUUUAUAAUAACUUGGCUUUGGGCCAUGGAAAGAAGCGUUAGUCAUACAGGUAAUGAGAUCUUACACGGAGAUGAGCUGGAGGCUCGGUUUGACAACGUUAGGUAUGCCCAUUCUGGACCUAGAGUGCCAAUUACAUUUCCAAAUUGGCAAUUAGACAUAAUGUCCCCAAAACAAUCACCUAAUCAUGCCAAAAGCAAAGCAAAUUUCGUCUCAAAGCAGUCAUUCUUUUGAAGCUGCCCUUCCAUCCCCUGCCUGACUCAUGCGCCUCGUAGACAACUGCUCGUUGUCUACUGGUCAAGACCGACCAGGCAGAAUGAAUCAUUUAAAUCUAGGGAUGACUCAAACAUCAUUCUGUCACCAAAUCAACCCACCCCAUUCACCCAGAGUUUCUCCAUGGCAUGUAUCAAAUCACCCCCCCAACAUGCACACACAAAUAGCACAACGUAUUUUUUACCUACUACACUAGAGAACCACCAUUGAAAGGGCCCUCCCAACUCAAAUAUGUGCUUGCACUUCUAUGACUCACUUCCUGCCCUCAGGGGGUCUGCAGGCAACUUAGACACCAAGCAUGUGCACACCCCAUGAGAAGAUAACUGGGUUUUUUCCCUCCCACCCUGUCAACUAGAAGUCAGAAUGGGGUCCUCUAUUUCCCCAAGUACCUAGCUCGGUACAUAGUAUGCACCUACUAUGCAAUAAAAGUAAAAAUAACAACUACAAUGACCAUAAGAUUUGAGAACCUAUUCUGUAUUGAGCGUUAUACUAAGUCCUUCUUUAUUAGGACAGCUGGAGAUGCUCAUGGGUCAAGUUUACUCCAGGUUCUCCCCUUGGACAAUAGAACAACAUAAAAAGCACAUCUCAGGGAAAAAGUCCUUAACGGCAUGAGCUGUGACAAACUUUGCUGCCAUGAGAGAAAGGGCUAGUUUCAAUUUCAUAGGAUAGAAUUCUGGAGAGAUGCCGCUGGAGGCCUGCACAGCACAAUGCAACCUGUCUCCUGCCUCCCCGCAGGGAUCAGGGCUGGAGCCCCAUCCUUUCAUGCUAGACCUCUGUUGGGAAGGCCCACCCAGGUCCCUAUGGAAAAUCAGUCUGGCAGUGUUGCUGUGUACUAACUUCAAACACACCAGAGGGCGUGGCCAGCAGCUAACUUCCCAGAGCAUCACCACAGUAUGGCCCUGGCUACAACAGGAGCCUUUAAUUUUGCAAAAAGGUGGUUUGGCUAGGUUGCCAUUCUGAACUUCAGAAAGCUUCUCCCUUUGCAGUAUGACCAACUGGCAUGAGAGAGCCCACAGGCGACACACAGACCACACCCUGCAUAUCUGUAGAACACUGCGGUGGCCGCCACAACCCCACCCCAAGCCAACAGCACUGCGGGUUCCUUGGAAAGAGGCACCCCGCAAUCAGCUUUAGCAGCAGGCGCCCAGGCUGGUCUGCAGCAACUCAGAGAGCCUGAGCAGAGUUUCCGCGACCUGACUAUCUUGGCACAGGGGACCUUCCUCUUCUCAUCACUUCCUACUCUGAAGAGUAGGGAAUUUCAUAUUUAAAAAUAGGCCUGUGUUUUGGGAGGAACCCUCUGGAGGCUGAGAAAUGGACCAGAUCCUUGCUACUCCUGGGGCAGUCCUUGUCAGGAAGGCAGAAUCUCAGGGCCCACUCUGGACUUUCUGAAUCUGAAUCUGUAUUUUAAUACUCCUCAGGUGAUUUGUGUGUACAUUAGGGUGUGAGAGGCCCCAGGAUUACAUGGACUAGAUGCUCUAUCCAGCCCUGGAGGCAGAGAUCUGAUACCCCAAUGGAACAUUCCUUAAGCCUUCUAUCCAGAAUGCUGAGACCCCCUGCCUCUGAGAGUAGGGCCCCUGAGUUUCUUUCCUCACCUGCCCAGGGCCAGAAUUCCACCCACUCAAGGUGCAUUUCAACAAAGGAGAAACACUUUGUUCCCUACUGUGUACAGAAUGGCUGUGGGAUUCCAGGGGUCCUGCAGGAGGCUUGAUCUUGCCUGACCCUCAGGUAGGACUCCAUGAAGACCAGAGCUCUCAGCUGGGCUCCAGGAAGGAGCUGUGGGAACACACACACACAGCUCUUUCCACGAGAACCACAGGGGCAGCUCUCCAGGGGCUCCGCAGCUCUGGAGUCCCAGGAAGGUGCACUGCCUGCUGUAAUUCACAGGUUAGCACAGCCACUGCCACUAUGAGCUGGGACACCCCUGCUACCAAGGUUGGGAAGGAGGUCUUGGCACUACGAUCCAAUGCCAACCUGUUUCAGCAGAGGCUUCUCUUGCCCUGGUGAGGAGGGAGGGGGACAGAAAGAAAGCAACAAAGCAAGCAUUUACUCCUGCUACCAGGCACCCAAUGAAUGCCCCAUUCAGAAAAGAAGAUAGUGGUGAGGCAAAGAAGAGUCCCACCUGGGUUUGCCCUUGGAAUCCUUACUCCCCUAGGCCAAAUGCUAGGGCAGCUCGUCCUUUCCUCCUGAUGUACGUCUGGACAAGGCCCUUGGGCACCUGGAAGCAAGGUCAGCCCAUGGCUUGCAGUCACUAUGUCCUCCUAGGAAGUGCUACAAAAUGGGGUUAUGGAGAGUACCUACCCACUAGGGCUGUGGUCUAUUACAAUUCCCAAUGUGCAGGUGAGGAAACUGAGGCACAGGGCAAUGGAGUCUUUGCCCAAGGUCACAAGCUGACAGCUGAGUGCUGCACAGCAGGCUUGACAUCUAGGCAAGGCUGCUCUACAUGAGCACAGUCCAGAGCCUUUCAACCAGUUUCUCUGCUGCAGGACUUCCCUGAGCCUGGGACUCCCCAAACGGCCACCCAGUAGGCCGUGCCUCUCAAUUUUUCACAAGGUAACUUCAAGGGCAAGUGCUCCACAGAAUACUAAAACUGAUCCAGAGCAUCCUGGAGCAUCCUCUUUAAGACACUGUUACUUUACUGAGGGAACAGAUCUGUGAGCUCCAGACUGGGCUUACAGGGAUAGAAUUGUUCCUUCUCAAGGAAGGGUGGGCAGCCACAUCUGAGCAACAAAGCUUUCACUUCUGAUAGGCCUACAGGCCCAGGAGCCCCGCAACGUCAAUGCUCGUCCAAGAACGUCCACACCAUAAAGCACUAGCGAUCCUGCCAGAUGCUCAUCCACAGAGCGCUCCCUGGCUAACCCUCCCCACCCUUCCAGCCCUGCAGCAGCAGAAAGUCAUGAGCCCGGAUCUCGGUCUGGCUCUGAUUGUUAGACAGUUGACUUCAGGCUCUCAAAAGUUCUAUUCAUUGCAGUGUGUGCCCUACAAGGGCCAAAAGUUAAGGAAUCAAGAGAAAAUAAACUCACCACCUUGUGGAGCUACAGAGUAGCUCCCAUUUACAGGAGACUGCUAAAUGCCAGGCAUUUGCUAGAUGCUAUGUGCCCAUUACUGCCACUCCUUAUAAGGGUCUUACAAAGAAAACAUCAUUAGGCUCUUUUUAUGGAAGAAGACAUCAAGGCUUGACAUAGUUGCCAGACAAAGGUGCCCAGCUAAUAAAUGUGAGAUCACUAUGUGCACUUGGGUCUCACUGCAGAGUCUCUGCAUGUGUCUUUCCAUAAAGAAAGUGAGACACAAGAAGCAAAAGCUGUCUGGAUAAGGGAAGGUCAGCUGGACUGGGACCUGAGACCUUCUCCAAGGCCUAAGCGAUCUCACCAAGAAGCAGUAUCUGAAGGUCAUGCGAUGUGGCUGAUCCCCAGCAUGAGAUGAGGCACCAGGGCCAAUGUGGCAUCAAGAAUUCAGAGGCCCUGAAGCUCCAGCCCUGAUUGGAUGCAUCAGGCCAGACCCUGGGCAAUUACCAAGCUGUAAUAGGAUCUGAUAUUUAUAUUAGUCACGAGCCUGGCAGAGAAAACAUGUUGUUUUUUCAGACACAGCCAUGGAGAUAACACCUCAAUAAUUCAUUACAUGCAGACCAACCCCAAUCAAGCCCAAACUUCUACAGGGAGGACAGCUCUAACUCAGAGCAGGCCUGAGUCCAUGCCCACCGUGCAGGCCCCUCAGCAAACCACAGCUCCACAGGAAGUCAGCCUCAGCUUCCCUGGACUAAUGGGGGAAAAAAGGAAACCGUUGUGCUGAAUGAGGAGCAGGAGGUGGAAAGAAAGGCACAUAAACUGAAUUCCUAAAGGAAUCGUUGCACCAUUGCAAAAUACAUUCUGAGCUAGAAAGUUUACCCAUAGUCUCUCAACUCCUUCCACUCCCUGACAUGGAAUCACAGAGCACAAGGGCCAGGAGAACACACAGAAUUCAAUCUCCACAUUUUAAACACAAGAAACGAGAGACCAGAGAGGUUAAAUGACUUCUUCAAGGUCACAGCCGUAUUCGGGCUGCCAGAGCAGCUCCCUGUUCACUACAGUCUGCUACCAGGUUGGACCUCAAACUGUCACAGCCCAGUGAAGAGAGCUGUGAUGAAACUCAACAGACACAAAACAAUGUGACAGAGUGCAGCAAAGAACACAGUCCUGAGUGACUGUGUCCAAGUUCUCAACAAGGGGGAAAUGUGAUUCUUUUUCUUCUUUAUUUCCUAAAAAGAAAAACGCAAUACAAUUCUUUGCCAAAUAAUAGAGUCAUUCACCAUUUGGGAUUCAGAGGCCAAAGGUACUAAUGAUACACCCACAGUCCCAGGUUCCUUUGAUCAGAGAGGAUGGUGCAGUUCCAGAGACCAAGCACUUAAGAUUCCCCAGCUCCCUGCUGAAACUCAUCUCCCAUGGAAUUGCUAAUGCUAAAAAGACCAGCCUUCCACUGGACCCCGGCUCCUGGUCAGACCAUCUUGGGUCUGAAUGAAGGUGAGGGUGAACACACCUGAGGGCCAGUAGAGUUCUGUGGAAAAGCAGCCUAGGUUUGCUUGGGAAACCCAGCAGUAAAAUAAUUAUUCCAAGUUCAAGCUGAAUGCAUUCUUUUGUGCAGCAUCUCAACAACUACCAAUACUUGGAAAGCAAAAAGAGUGAAGGGCAAAAAAACCACGACUGCAAGAGACAUCAAGGGUAGAAAGAAUAGCUUGUAAAAGGCCUAAGUUAUUACCAUUGGGCAUAAAGAGCUGGCUACACUAGGCUUCAUUAAGCAAAUCAAGGGGCAGAUAUUAAGAGAUCUGGGCAUGAUUUAAAAUGAACUCUAAUGGUACCAAAGUGACCUGAUCUUGUCCUACAUUGCUUCCUGUCUCCCCCACCGACUGCAAGCAUCUCUGAUUUUUGUAGAAACUUCCAGUUAUGUCAACUUAAGAGCUCUUGAAGCUACAAAAUACAGCCUAAUACAGGGAUUGUUUUAUUUUUGCAGUGAUCAUUGCCAAAAACCUAUUUUCUUGAAGGAAAAAGGCAGAAGUUAUGCUUGCUCCUCAUUCAAGAAAGAGAUUCCUUCUGCGAACGAUGUGAUGAGCAUUUCAUCACAGGCACUGCAGUGGCUUUAAGGAACCCCCUGGAGUCAAAAGACCUUAGAGACUGUUUAAAACCCCAGGGUCACAAAAACAUCAAAACUUACUUUGAUUCAUUGCAGAAAAAAGUUUUCAUUAUAAUCAGGAUUGUCCAGUUCCUUAUGGAUAAGGAAGCUGUUAAAAAGUUCACCAAAAUCACUCCGCCUAGAGAACAUUUGAGAUGUGCACAACCAUGAGCUAUCUCUCCCCUUGGCCUGACACCAAACCUCAGCGAGGGAAAAUAAACUUGAGGGCUGAAGGCUCCAGGGGGGUGGAGGAGAGGAAAUGGGUGGGUAAGGAGGUCCUAUGAGUAGGCAGUUGUUAAAUGGAGGGCAAUGCUGGGGGGGCACAGUCUUGGGGUCUCUGUGCUUAGGAUUCUGCUUCAUCUGAUGGCUGCUCUGGAAUGCGGGAGGCUGUCCACCUUGACAAGUAAGGAGAAACCUCUCCUGAGAAGGAAACUCCAAAAAAACCAGGCUGGCCCAACAUCUGGAGGCUUCUGGAGAAGUAGGAGGAGAGGGAGAGAUUUUAUUUUUCUCCCUUAUUUCCAACUCACCAGUAUUUUCCAAAACACAAACGUGCUGCCACAAAACACAGCUGAGCUCCAGCACCCAACAGGAUGCAUUAUUAAUGGCCUGGAGAGCGAGGUUCAGUUCACUCCUGUGUGUCACCCACAGACCCAGGUUUCCCUACUUCUUCCUGUAGCAGCGGAGGAGUCUGCGACAAGUUGCUGUGCCCUGUGGAAGUUUGAGGGGUCCUCCGACCAACUUUCCCAGGAAAGGUUUCUAAAGUGCGGGCUGUUGUGCUCCCAUUCGCCCACCGAAAGGAACCGAGCCUCGGCAGGUGGGCCGUGCGGAACGCGCACCCAGCGGCCCCCAGCUUCCUCGUUGCCCGCGGGGUUGGCUCUCCCUACCCCGCACCACAGCGCCCGAGCG